UACGUAGGGGGCAAGCGUUGUCCGGAAUUAUUGGGCGUAAAGCGCGCGCAGGCGGUCUCUUAAGUCUGAUGUGAAAGCCCACGGCUCAACCGUGGAGGGUCAUUGGAAACUGGGGGACUUGAGUGUUGGAGAGGAAAGUGGAAUUCCACGUGUAGCGGUGAAAUGCGUAGAUAUGUGGAGGAACACCAGUGGCGAAGGCGACUUUCUGGCCAACAACUGACGCUGAGGCGCGAAAGCGUGGGGAGCAAACAGG
rnacentral:rRNA from 1 species